AGAGUUUGAUCCUGGCUCAGGAUGAACGCUGGCGGUGUGCCUAAUACAUGCAAGUCGAACGAGGAACCUUAGUACUUGUACCGAGGUUUCCUAGUGGCGAACGGGUGAGUAACGCGUUGGUAACCUGCCCCGAAGAGGGGGAUAACAGCUCGAAAGAGCUGCUAAUACCCCAUGUGGCCUCAAGGGUUAGAUACCUUGAGACUAAAGGGAGUAAUCCGCUUCGGGAGGGGCCUGCGUCCCAUCAGCUAGUUGGUAGGGUAAUGGCCUACCAAGGCUACGACGGGUAGGGGACCUGAGAGGGUGACCCCCCACACUGGAACUGAAACACGGUCCAGACACCUACGGGUGGCAGCAGUAGGGAAUAUUGCCCAAUGGACGAAAGUCUGAGGCAGCAACACCGCGUGUGCGAUGAAGGCCCUCGGGUCGUAAAGCACUUUUGGAGGGGAAGAGGAAGGACGGUACCCUCCGAAUAAGGAUCGGCUAACUACGUGCCAGCAGCCGCGGUAACACGUAGGAUCCAAGCGUUAUCCGGAUUUACUGGGCGUAAAGCGCGUGUAGGUGGUUUGGUAAGUUGGAUGUUAAAUUUCCCGGCUCAACCGGGAGCUGUCGUUCAAAACUGCCAGACUAGAGGACGGUAGAGGGAGGUGGAAUUCCGGGCGUAGUGGUGAAAUGCGUAGAUAUCCGGAGGAACACCAGUGGCGAAGGCGGCCUCCUGGACCGUUUCUGACACUCAGACGCGAAAGCUAGGGUAGCGAACGGGAUUAGACACCCCGGUAGUCCUAGCCGUAAACGAUGUAGACUUGGUGUUGGUGGGGUAAAAGCCAUCAGUGCCGCAGCUAACGCGAUAAGUCUACCGCCUGGGGACUACGGCCGCAAGGCUAAAACUCAAAGGAAUUGACGGGGACCCGCACAAGCAGCGGAGCGUGUGGUUUAAUUCGAUACUACACGAAGAACCUUACCUGGGUUUGACAUAUAAGUGGUAGGGAUCCGAAAGGUGACCGACCCUUCGGGGAGCUUAUACAGGUGCUGCAUGGCUGUCGUCAGCUCGUGUCGUGAGAUGUCCGGUUAAGUCCGGUAACGAGCGCAGCCCUCGCUGUAUGUUACAAGUGUCAUACGGGACUGCCGGUAUAAAGCCGGAGGAAGGUGGGGAUGACGUCAAGUCAGCAUGGCCUUUAUAUCCAGGGCUACACACACGCUACAAUGGUCAGUACAAUAGGUCGCAAAGCCGCGAGGCGGAGCCAAUCCUCAAAACUGGCCUCAGUUCGGAUUGUAGGCUGCAACUCGCCUGCAUGAAGCCGGAGUUGCUAGUAAACGCGCGUCAGCUAUAGUGCGUUGAAUACGUUCCCGGGUCUUGUACACACCGCCCGUCACGUCAUGGAAGCUGGCAACACCUAAAGUCGGUAUCCUAACCCGCAAGGGAGGGAGCUGCCAAAGGUGGGGUUGGUAACUGGGACGAAGUCGUAACAAGGUA
rnacentral:rRNA from 1 species